rnacentral:lncRNA from 1 species
AGUUUCAAAAAAAAGUAGAAGACAAACUUCUCACCUCCUAGAAAACCCAUAGUAGGUAUUAUUAUGGCUCCCAGUUCACAGUCAGGUAUUAUUAUAACCUACAGUAGGUAUUAUUAUAACCUAGCCCAACCCAGGUUGCCAAAGUUCUAUCUCUCUCUCUCUCUCUCUCUCUCUCACUUUCCACGAGGCAGGCAGCCCCAGGCUCACAGGCCAGCAGCUGAGAUGAGAAGACAUGGGGUUUUUCAAUGACUUCAGCAGACUGUACCGGGAGGAUUUGGCUAACUGGGCUUGGAUCACUGGCCCCUUCCUGCCGGCAGCCCUUCCUCAGAUGAGAAAAUUCACAGAUGAGAAAGCGAAACUUAGAGGGUGCAUGGAUAGUGAAUGCUGGAAGAGGAUUAACCUCAGGACCUUCCAUCCCAGCACCUCUGGAGCACUGGCCUGCGUUGCCAGUGCUCUUCAGGCCAGCUGGGGGGAAGGGACUGAAUGCCAAUCUGCUCUGGGAUGAACAUCUGCCUCCAGGAGACAGUUGUUUAAUGAAAUUUCCCACCCAUGUGAUUAGCAUCCUCUGAGAGUGAGAUGAGUAAAACAGGCUACCACCAUCAACAUCAUCUCUGACUGCACUGCCUAGACAGUAAUAACACCCAAGAUUUUUAGAGCUUUCUGUUUCUCAAAGUCAUGCCCACUGAUUCACUCAGGAACCCGGCAGGAAGCAAGGCAGUCCUUGAUUGCCCAUGUCGUUGAGAUGGUAAAAGGGGUAUUCUGAGCAACUGUUGAGUUCUUUUACAUCCCUGGGAUGGCAUGGUCACAAAGGCCAGACACCGGGCCUGACUUCAAGGUCACUGUGGCUGCACUACUGAGUGACUGUGGACAAGUCUCACAUUCUCUUGAAGACUCAGGAGCCUCCUCUGUAAAGUGGAGAUGAUAAUUAUUUCCCACCGCAUGGGUGUGUUGUGGGGAUUAAAUGAGAUCAUACAAGUGGAAUGCUGAGCACCAGUCCAGGAAGGCGAGGGGCACGCCCUACAUGUCACCUACUGGAUCAUUGCUGUUUUCAGGGUUCCUAUUACCCAAAGAUCCACCUAGAAUUCUUCCCCUGAGUGCUGUUCAUCUUCGUCAAGGCUCAGCAAUGUUUUGGAUGAUUCUCCUUUGACAUAGCUCUGGUGCUUGUUAAUACUAAAUGUUUUCCAGCUUACCUAUAAGGAAACUGAGUCUUAGGAAGCAAUUGCAGGGCCUCUACUUUGUGCAUGAGAAUGAGUGACGGCUGGGGAAACCUGGGAUUUGGCCUGAUGUUCAAGCACUGGCACCUGCCUGCCUUUUCUCUGUAAACAUCUGACCCUAGAAUGCUCCACCAGGGCGAGACCAUCAUCACCAAGCAGCAGCUGCAUGGUAUUUAUCAAAGGAGGCGUGGUUUCCUUUGCUGUGGCUCUCCGCAUUCGUGGCAGUUAUUCAUUUUUGAAGCAGAGGUCACUUUUCUUUCACUGGUGAGGUACUUUGACAAAGACGAAGAAGGGAGACAAUGGUGUGGCAAAAUGGCUUUGUUGUGGUGGAAGAUGAAUUGUCGUCUCAAGGGGGCAGAGGACUGCCUGUGAGCUUCCUUAACAUGGAGCCCGAAACCGGUGUUUGCACAGUCCUUGAGGAAAGGGUUUGCUCAGCAAAUUAACAGUGUGAACAAGACUGCAGGAGGGACCAUUUACCUACCUGAGAACAAACUGUUUUCUAGCUCUUCAGCAGCACCACUUACGCACAAUUUUCAUGUGCUAAUGGCAAGUGAUUAUUACCUAGUUAGUGAAUAUACGUGGAAGACAUAAAAUAGCCUUUACUAUCCCCUGGUUGAGACAACUCGCUAACUCAGACUUGCCAGGUGCUCUGAAUUAGAGAGGUGCUACAGGAAUGUCCUCUCGGAUUUUUGGCGUUGAGCAUGCAUGCAUGUGAGCAGGGUGCCAUUUCUUCAGAAGAAAAAUAAAUGACAACAUUCUGUUUUGGGGCUUGAAACUGCAUGACUGAAAACAUAAAGGUGACAACUGUGAUAUGCUUUUUUAAUGAGGGCAGAGAUGUCAAGAGAAACCAGCCUUCUAGGAACAAAAGAAUACUCUGUCAGAGCAAGAAAAAUGAAUGAAAAGACAAAUAAGAAAGUGUUGCCAUACAAAGUUAGCGAGCUGUCAGAUAGAUAUAACUACUAAAUGAAAGUCCACAUUAAACUUUUGGGGCAAGAUUCUCACUCCGCCUUCCCUCAACUCCAAGCCUUUGCUCCACUCCACUCAUGCCCAAUCUGAGAAAGGAAAAGAAGCAAGUUUGACACGUAUCCUGCCUUCCAGGAAUUUGCGAUCCAGUUGAAGAGACAAGCUCUACCCAUUCAGAGGGUGGCUUGUGUGAUUUGGGUUUUCUGCUAGGCACAGGAU